GCAGUGGGAGGGGAGAGUCUUAAAGGGCCCUCGCCGGCGCGCGGCCGCCGCCUCGGCCUUCACCGCUCUCCGUACUCCUCCCUUCUCCCCCCACCCGGACCCCACUGCGCUGUCCUCGCCUCGAGGUCUCUCUGGGGACCGGACUUCUCCGGGACCCUGGGCUGUGCGCACUCUCCUUGGGCUUUCCUGUCUACAUCUCCUCUCUCCCUCUCCACCGCUGGGGAGUGGUGUUGGCUGGGGGCUGUCACCCCGUAAGGCGGCAUUGGGGUAGGGCAGGAGCGCCUGGAGCCAGCUCCGGCACAGUGGAGUCCGAGUCUCUCCCAAAGGUCGCCUGGGGGCUGGCCAAGCCUCCGGACCCUGGGUCCUUCUCAGGCGCAGCUCUGGCCGCUCUCCUUCCCAAUUCGAUUUGGCCUUUCCCGGGUGUGUUCACUUGAAGCUUCGGAGGCAUCCACUGUUCUCGGGGCGCGAUGUGGGUCGCUCAAAGACUGCAAGUUUGAGGACUCCCUUCCGGGGUGAGAUAGUCUUGGUGAGGUGCGGUACGCCGGGCUGUGCGCACCUCUCGGACGCGCUGGGAGCGCAGUGUCUUCGCUGAUUUAUAGGUUCGGUGUUUGGGUGUGUUUCGGGUUUCUUGUUCAGUCCUGUUUGAAGGUGUAAAGUUUCCUCAAUGUACCGCACCCUACUGUUGUUUGGGGGGAAACCUGGGGUCAUGGGAGAGGCCAGUAUCCCAGAGCAGGUGAGGAUUUCUCUAAGCAUGGCAGAACGACACUGACUCCAGAGAUACACCUCUUAUUUUUCCCCCAAGCAGGGGAAAAUGCACUAGCUUUCCCCAGGAAAAUUUAAAAACUUUUUAUUAAAAAUAACAAUACCCUCCUCGAUUUCCCGCGCCUUUUGGAUAAAAUAUGCAUUGCCAGCUUUUCUCUUGGUAGAGAUUUUACGUAGUCAUCGUCCUGACGUUAAAGUUCCGUGUCUGCCGCUCAUCAGAAGGUGAAGUUGGUCUUCCGGAGUGACCACUUCUCCGUGCUCUAAGCGGCCAGUGGAGGCGCGCUGGUGUCACCAUCUCAUUUGGAUACCACUUUCCCAAGUUCCAGUCCAUCACUCUAUUGUCAGGCCUGUCACUCCAGGCAUAUUGCUCUGGGAUUACCCAUUCCUGACUCUGCGUGCUGACCAACGCCUUGGGACAACAGGAGAACCCGAGACGGGGUGCUUAAUAAACAGCAAGUUCUCUUCUCAUCCUCAAGCAAGCUGAAGAAAUGAGGAAUAGAAAGGAGAGUCACCUAAAGUCACAGGACACUAAGAGGCUUAAUAUCUUUCAGCAGACCAGCAAUUACCGCCUUGGCCAGGAGCCCUGAUUUAGCAUUCCCCACUCAGAGCACCCAGAGGUACUUCCUCAGGCUGCCUGGUUCCUGGGCUUCAGAUACAGCCUGGGGCAUGAGAGGUUCACCAAGGACCUGUGGGAGCAAACAGAAGAAAGCCAGGCCAGCCAGCCUUGCAGGAAGCCUGCUCCGCAAAUGACUCAAGGGGCUCCCUCUUCUGCGUUCUCAGGGCUCCUGUCAUGUUCUGCUAUUACACUUAUCCCAGGGCAACUGCCUGUAUUUGUUUACUUGUCUGAUCUCCUGCUGGAUGCUUCCUUGUUUCCUCAUCCUCUCUGAGUUCUUAUUGCCCGAGUGUUUAACCAUCACUGCAGAAGCCAGCACGGAGCCACAGCACCCUUCUAAACACUUUGUAGGCAUUCUCUCAUUCCAUCCCUACAGAAACCCCAAGAGGUAGGUCUAACCAUCACCCCAUUUUAGGGAGGUGGAAAUAGAAGCACAGAGGGGUUUUGCAACUUGCUCUAGGUUCAAGCUGUUUUGCUUCGAGAUGGGGCUGGGGUGUGAAUUCAGGCAGCUUCAGUGCAAUAAGUGUCCAAGGAAUGUUUGUUAAUGAAUGAAUAUUACAUUUACCCAAAAGGGCUAUUUACUUAUAUCUCAUUUUGUCUCAUUCCAAAAAAUGCAAGGUGGGUGACUGCUUUUAAAAAUGUUGCCUGUAUAACUACACAAAAGUAUCUUUUCCCAAAUGUACUUUGUGUCCCUCAUCUCACAGUGUUUGGAGUUACUUUGGGCAGGUUUUAUUAUUCCUGCUUGACAGAUGAAGAAACAGGCACUAAGAGCUUAGGGGACUGUCACAGGACAAACAGCCAGCUAAGUGAAGAAAGGACCAGGGCUUCUGAACUCCCUUCCUGGUUGUGGCUCUAUUAACUUCUGUCACUGCCCAAUGCCACGUGGAUGGGGAAGUAGAAGGAGGGGGAAUUCACUCUUUUUCAUCCCCCUAGAAUUUCCUUUAAAGAUGUGGUGGGAAGGAAGGACAAAAGGAAAGUAGACUGAAGCUUAUCUUCAAGCCUGUCCUUUUGAUUUGGGUCCUUGAGCAGUGUGCUUUGAAGAGUGGUUUCAUUUAUCUCCUAUCAGUUCCUGGGGAGACAGGCAGGCCUGGGUGAGGGGAAUGCAGUAGGUGGGCUUUUGAAGUUCUCCUCGAUUUGCCUGCCCUGCCCUGAUACAGUCCUAGCCCUGGGCAUUCACCCUUGAUUACUUGUUCUCUUGGGCCUUCAAGUUUCCCAGAGAUUCCUUUUAUAAGUUGCAAAUAUUGCUGGGGGGCAUCUCAACCUUGUUGCCAGCCCACACUUCAGUGGUAGUUAACAGUGAGUGUUCCACCCAUGAUAAUGAUGAUACUUAUUGAGCACUUACUGUAUGCUAGACACCUUGUAAGCACAGGGCCUGUUAUAACUCAUGGAGUUCUCACAGCAAACCAACCAAGUGGGUACCACUGAUGUGCCUAUUUCAUAGA